rnacentral:rRNA from 1 species
ACGGGGGCCCGCACAAGCGGUGGAGUAUGUGGUUUAAUUCGAUGAUACGCGAAGAACCUUACCAGGUCUUGACAUCCCCCGCGAUGCUUUAGAGAUAAAGCGGAGGUAUUCGGGGAGACAGGUGGUGCAUGGUUGUCGUCAGCUCGUGUCGUGAGAUGUUGGGUUAAGUCCCGCAACGAGCGCAACCCCUAUUGCUAGUUACCAUCAUUAAGUUGGGGACUCUAGCGAGACUGCCAGUGAUAAACUGGAGGAAGGUGGGGAUGACGUCAAAUCAUCAUGCCCCUUAUGACCUGGGCUACAAACGUGAUACAAUGGCUGGAACAAAGGGAUGCGAAGCAGUGAUGUGGAGCGAAACCCAUAAAAACAGUCUCAGUUCGGAUUGAAGUCUGCAACUCGACUUCAUGAAGUCGGAAUCGCUAGUAAUCGCGGAUCAGAACGCCGCGGUGAAUACGUUCUCGGGGUUU